UAGGGAAUCUUCCGCAAUGGACGAAAGUCUGACGGAGCAACGCCGCGUGAGUGAAGAAGGAUUUCGGUUCGUAAAACUCUGUUGUUAGGGAAGAAAAAAUGUAUAGUAACUAUAUACAAAAGAGACGGUACCUAACCAGAAAGCCACGGCUAACUACGUGCCAGCAGCCGCGGUAAUACGUAGGGGGCAAGCGUUGUCCGGAAUCACUGGGCGUAAAGGGUUCGCAGGCGGAAAUGCAAGUCAGUUGUGAAAGGCAGAGGCUCAACCUCUGUAAGCAAUUGAAACUGUAUUUCUUGAGAUGUGGAGAGGCAAGUGGAAUUCCUAGUGUAGCGGUGAAAUGCGUAGAUAUUAGGAAGAAUACCGGUGGCGAAGGCGACUUGCUGGACACAAACUGACGCUGAGGAACGAAAGCGUGGGUAGCAAACAGG
rnacentral:rRNA from 1 species